GACGAACGCUGGCGGCGUGCUUAAUACAUGCAAGUCGACUGAACUUAAGGUAGCAAUAUUUUAAGGGAGGUGGCGCACGGGUGAGUAACACGUAGGUAAUCUGCCUUUAGGACUGACAUAACUCCGCGAAAGCGGAGCUAAUUUCAGAUGAUGCAGCGGCUCGACAUCGAGACAGUUGUUAAACCUUCGGGGCCUAAAGAUGAGCCUGCGUCUGAUUAGGUAGUUGGCGGGGUAAUGGCCCACCAAGCCAUCGAUCAGUAGCUGGUCUGAGAGGAUGAUCAGCCACACUGGAACUGAGACACGGUCCAGACUCCUACGGGAGGCAGCAGUGAGGAAUAUUGCGCAAUGGCCGAAAGGCUGACGCAGCGACGCCGCGUGGAGGACGAAAUACUUUUGUAUGUAAACUCCUGUAAGAAGGGAAAAUAUUCCGAUUUAUCGGGAUUGAUUGUACCUUCAGAGUAAGCCCCGGCUAACU
rnacentral:rRNA from 1 species